rnacentral:misc_RNA from 1 species
GAUGAAGAACGUAGCGAAAUGCGAUAAGUAAUGUGAAUUGCAGAAUUCAGUGAAUCAUCGAAUCUUUGAACGCACCUUGCGCCCUUUGGCUAUUCCAGAGGGCAUGCCUGUCCGAGCGUCAUUUCUGCCCUCCAGCCCGGCUGGGUGUUGGGCGCUGUCCCCCCGGGGACACGCCCCAAAGGCAGUGGCGGCGCCGCGUCGGGUCCUCGAGCGUAUGGGGCUUUGUCACCCGCUCGGGACGGACUCGUCGGCGCUGGUCUUCCUCCAGGCGACCCUUCGGGGCUCGUCUUCCUUCGGUUGACCUCGGAUCAGGUAGGGUUACCCGCUGAACUUAAGCAUAUCAAUAAGCGGAGGA